UAGGGAAUCUUCCGCAAUGGACGCAAGUCUGACGGAGCAACGCCGCGUGUGUGAAGAAGGUCUUCGGAUCGUAAAGCACUGUUAUUAGAGAAGAACAACCGGUAGAGUAACUGUUACCGGCUUGACGGUAUCUAACCAGAAAGCCACGGCUAACUACGUGCCAGCAGCCGCGGUAAUACGUAGGUGGCAAGCGUUGUCCGGAUUUAUUGGGCGUAAAGGGAGCGCAGGCGGUGAUUUAAGUCUGAUGUGAAAGCCCACGGCUCAACCGUGGAAGGUCAUUGGAAACUGGAUCACUUGAGUGCAGAAGAGGAAAGUGGAAUUCCAUGUGUAGCGGUGAAAUGCGUAGAUAUAUGGAGGAACACCAGUGGCGAAGGCGACUUUCUGGUCUGUAACUGACGCUGAGGCUCGAAAGCAUGGGGAGCAAACAGG
rnacentral:rRNA from 1 species